UACGUAGGGUCCAAGCGUUAAUCGGAAUUACUGGGCGUAAAGCGUGCGCAGGUGGUUUGUUAAGCACGAUGUGAAAUCCCCGAGCUCAACUUGGGAAUUGCAUUGUGAACUGGCUAACUAGAGUACGGCAGAGGGGGGUGGAAUUCCACGUGUAGCAGUGAAAUGCGUAGAGAUGUGGAGGAACACCGAUGGCGAAGGCAACCCCCUGGGCUGAUACUGACACUCAUGCACGAAAGCGUGGGGAGCAAACAGGAUUAGAUACCCUGGUAGUCCACGCCCUAAACGAUGUCAACUAGUUGUUGGGCUUUUCGGAGCUUAGUAACGCAGCUAACGCGUGAAGUUGACCGCCUGGGGAGUACGGUCGCAAGACUA
rnacentral:rRNA from 1 species